ACUGAUUACUGAAGUGAUCAAUCAAGUGAGAAGAAGCCUCAUUUUUUCAUAAGCUUCAGGAGUCGCCCCCUGCUGGACAAUAUGAAGAAUACAGGUUUUAGGUGCUGCAGCAUUGGCUUCACUUUUCAGACCUAUUUUAAAGUGUGUGUGUUGAAUAUAAAUCACUGAGGUCAUGCUUGUUCAAAUAUGAGUCGCUAAAAUAAACGAUGUGAAAGUCUUUUUGUAAAUUUAAGCACCAAAAAUGUAAAAUAAUCAGAGCAGUGAGUCGCCUGCGGUCUAUCAAACCACCUUUACAUCGACCUGAUAUAACUUCCUACACUUACCUGUGUUUUGAUUGUGGACUGAUCCAUGAUCAUGUGUUUAUUUUGUCAUUACAGCCAGCAUAGUUAUGAGCCGAGUGCCGGAGGAGAAUGAAAACACUGGCGGGAUGUUGGAUGAGGGGACCCGCUGCUCUCAGGCCCGUUCUGUGAAAUCUACAUGGAUCCAUAAGUGACCAUAUUUGGACGAGAGGAUGGAACUUCUGAUUGGAUCUGACUGAAAAGAGAAACAAAUAAAUGUCUGGUUGCCAACAGGGCUCAGAAACAAGAUGAACGCCACAAUAAAUCUGCUGGUAUUGACGCCUGCAGCUCUGUGAGAGGAAAAUCUGCUUCAUCGUCUGUUUUACACUUAACGAGACGGUAUUUUACAAACCGAAUAUCAGGUUGUGUUUCAGAAGUCUUCAACUAGAGACUGAGGUCAUAAACACUUCAGGAAACUGGUAACUGAGCUCAUGAAUCCAGUGAGAAGUCGGCUCAUUUUCUCAUAAGCUUCCAUACAAUCAGACUUCUUUUUGAAACCAGUGGAGUCUGAACAACCUGAACACGACGUUUUGAGGAUGGAUGGCUGACGAGGUGGCGAUCGCUCCCUCGCUGUGAGGUCCAGACGUCGUCGCUCUUUCCCCAGAUUGAUUCAGUUUAACGGAUCUCAUCUCGGCCGGCGCUCAGAACUUAAUUCUUUGUUUUGUAAUUUGCUCUUAAUCGCCUUCCCUCGCUGCUAAUGACGAGGCUGCAGCUCUGCUCAGACUAAAGCCCCUCACUGUGAGCUCCUAAA
rnacentral:lncRNA from 1 species